rnacentral:lncRNA from 1 species
GACCACCAACAAAAGACGUGGGAAGUAUAACGGAGUUUCCCUGAUUGCUUAGAUCAUCAUCUCCAGCAUUAGAUGCUUUCCUAAAAUCUGCUUUAUUUGUUCUUCGCAGUUUUUUUUUUUUUUUCUCAAAAAUCUAAGCCUGUUUGUUUCGAUCAUUGUAUAUGCAUCGACAACAAACUACUGUAGUAACCGUCUUGAUCUCAGAAGAACAUGCUUCUCCUCUUUCCUUUCUUGAAGC